rnacentral:rRNA from 1 species
GAUGAACGCUGGCGGCGUGCCUAAUACAUGCAAGUCGAGCGAACAGACGAGGAGCUUGCUCCUCUGAUGUUAGCGGCGGACGGGUGAGUAACACGUGGAUAACCUACCUAUAAGACUGGGAUAACUUCGGGAAACCGGAGCUAAUACCGGAUAACAUGUUGAACCGCAUGGUUCAACAGUGAAAGACGGUCUUGCUGUCACUUAUAGAUGGAUCCGCGCCGCAUUAGCUAGUUGGUAAGGUAACGGCUUACCAAGGCAACGAUGCGUAGCCGACCUGAGAGGGUGAUCGGCCACACUGGAACUGAGACACGGUCCAGACUCCUACGGGAGGCAGCAGUAGGGAAUCUUCCGCAAUGGGUGAAAGCCUGACGGAGCAACGCCGCGUGAGUGAAGAAGGUCUUCGGAUCGUAAAACUCUGUUAUUAGGGAAGAACAAAUGUGUAAGUAACUAUGCACGUCUUGACGGUACCUAAUCAGAAAGCCACGGCUAACUACGUG